rnacentral:tRNA from 1 species
CAGAGGAUAGGUUAAAUAAAAUAAUAAUUUUGGGAAUUAUUGAUAAAGAAAUUUCUUUUCCUUUGA